rnacentral:antisense_RNA from 1 species
AGCAGCAGAGACGAGAUGAACCUGUGGCUGCGGUCGCUUGGUUGACUCUGCAGAUGAUGAUGCAGUGCCUCCUUUAUGAAAGAUUUCUGAGGACUUCCCCACUUCUUCCUACUUGCGGGGAAGAUAAUAAGGAGAAAAGAUCAAGGAACCAGAAAGCUUCUAGAGGCAUGAGAUGUCGGAUUCCAAUAAAGCACUCAGAGGGAGCUGAUCUUACCGUUUUGGUUUGGGUAGUAGAGCGAGACAUCUCAGUGCUUUCAGUUUCUACCCCUUUCCGCAUCCCACUAAACCACUUUUUAUAUUCCAUUCGAACCUGGAAAUUUGAGUAGAGAGGUCCGUGUUACAUCCAGAGCUUGGUUUGGGAGAAAGGAUCCUAAAAUGGGAGGCUAAAGAUAAAGACACCAAGCCCUACUUUCUAGUUUUCCAUAUAAUCUUGGCCAUGCCCAUGUUGAUUCAUUUUAUUUAAACUCAAACUUCUCAGUUGUAAAAAAGAUGUGUAUUAAAUAUAAGACACUAUA